rnacentral:rRNA from 1 species
GAUGAACGCUCGCGGCAGGCCUAAUACAUGCAAGUCGGACGGGAUUCAGGAGCUUGCUUCUGAUGAGAGUGGCGCACGGGUGCGUAACACGUAUGUAACCUACCUUUAUCAGGGGGAUAGCCCCUCGAAAGAGAGAUUAAGCCCGCAUAAAAUCACAGCACAGCAUUGUGUAAUGAUCAAAUAUUUAUAGGAUAAAGAUGGGCAUGCGGAACAUUAGCUAGAUGGCGGGGUAACGGCCCACCAUGGCGACGAUGUUUAGGGGAUCUGAGAGGAUGGCCCCCCACACUGGAACUGAGACACGGACCAGACUCCUACGGGAGGCAGCAGUAAGGAAUAUUAGUCAAUGGGCGGAAGCCUGAACCAGCCAUGCCGCGUGCAGGAAGACGGCCAUACGGGUUGUAAACUGCUUUUAUACGGGAAUAAACCCAGAUACGUGUAUCUGGCUGAAUGUACUGUAAGAAUAAGGAUCGGCUAACUUCGUG